GUAGCUGCGAGCGAACAGGGAGAAGCCCAGCACCGAAUCCCGCGGCCGAUACCGGGCGCCGGGAAAUGUGGUGUUCGGGAGGGUCCAUAAUCUCGAAGUCAUGCGGCGCGUCCAAGUCCUUCUUGAACGGGGCCACAGCCCAUAGAGGGUGCCAGGCCCGUAGAGACCGCUGCUGAUCGCGAGAGGAUCUCUCCUCAGAGUCGGGUUGCUUGAGAGUGCAGCCCUAAGUGGGUGGUAAACUCCAUCUAAGGCUAAAUAUGACCACGAGACCGAUAGCGAACAAGUACCGUGAGGGAAAGUUGAAAAGCACUUUGAAGAGAGAGUUCAAGAGUACGUGAAACCGUUUAGGGGUAAACCUGAGAAACCCGAAAGGUCGAAGGGAGAAAUUCAUUCGCGUUUCGGUCGUCGGCGCUCGACGGUCGUGCGACGGAGGACGCGUUCGCGCGCGUCGUCCGCGCCUCUCGUCGCGUCCGACUUCUUCGAACGCGUGCACUUUUCUCCUGGUAGGACGUCGCGAUCCGUUGAACGUCGGUCUACGGCCCGCGGUGGAGCCCGCUCGUACGGUUCGCGCCGUGUCGAGAGGACCCGUGGUGACCCGGCCGACACGUUCGACGGUAUAAGAAUGGCCGAGGGCCGCUUACAGAGCGUCCGACUCGAUGCAAGCGCAUCAGACAUGUCGAAUAUCGGACCCAGUGCCGAUACCGACACCUGGUGACUGUUGGCAACGAUGUUCUUGGACAGACCCUCUCUCCGUAUGGCCGAUCUGCGACGCUAUAGCUUU
rnacentral:rRNA from 1 species